GUUUUAUUGGCAAGGGGUGAGAGCGUGGCUUCUUGGGGUUCCUCCCAGCACUGGGCAUUGUUCUCCUUCAACCACCGGGUGAGCCUUUAGUCCAUUUGCUCAUCUGUGGAAUGGGGCCACUGAUGCUGGCGCCACUUAACGUUCUAGGACUGUCAUGUGGGAAAAUGUGGAUGAUUGUGCAACCCAGGGACAGGAGUAUUUGUUUGUUCUCCAGGAGAUGGGAGAAGAGAAAGCUUUAUAGCUUCCAGAUUGGACCUGCUGGCUCCGAUGGAAAGAGAUGGGGCCCGCGUGGGACAGAACUUGGAGAAACCUCACUAAGAGAACCUCUGCGAGGGCCCUGGACUCUGCCUGCCUUGUCCUGUUCCCUGGAGUGAGGAGGAAAACAUGAGCCUGAGCCGUCUGUCUGCAGGGCAGGUGUGCACCCAGGUGUACGGCACGUGGCAUAGACACACACAGAUACUGAUGCCUCCUCCCUUUGCCCCUGACUACGGCCACUUGGUAGUUUUCCAGGCCUGACAUUUCAAACAUGCAAUGCCAUAUGUAUUGCCACUCUCAGGUAAUUAUCACGUAAAAUUAAGCUAGUCUUGUACAUGAAACCAGCAAUUAGCCAGGGAUUGAAGGUCAGGGAGAGCUCGUUUAUAGAGUCGCUAACAAAAUGUUAAGUGGAAGUGUGUGUCAGAUGGGCCAGGAGGCUGGAUUAGCCAGGGUCGCAGCGGUGGGACUGGAGAGCCGGUGGGGAGGAGAUGGGGAUUUGUGGCUCACACUUUUCUCUCUUCCAGCUUUCAAUCUGGGGCAUGGCUUUGAAGGGAAGGUUGCUAAGCCUGCUAAACCCUGAUGCACACCAACGAGGUUUUCCCAUUCAUCUGGAAACCUGGUAGGUCCCGCCCCAAAGCCUGAAUGUCAAUUCCACCUCCUGCCUGCCUGCCCACCACUCCAACAUUUUACACAUAAGCCUUUCAGAACUGCUUUGGGUACCUGAAGAUAGAAUGGAUGAUCUCUCAAGACUCAGAAACUUUGCACAUGCCAUUCCCUUUGCUUGGAAUGCUUUUCCCUCUCUCCCAACUGCCUCAUUAUCAGCCUGGAAAAUUUCUGUUUUUCUUCCAAAAAUCUCAGGUAUCACUUCUCUAGGGGCUUUCCCAGACCCCUCACUUUAUUCCAGGGGAAAGUUAUCACCACUUUUGUUCUGUGAGCGUGUUUCCACGGUUGCACUUACACUCAUGGCAAUUUAUUGGCGAUUUGUCUUCUCUGCUGGACCGAGAAUUACUCAUCAAUCCUUGGCAAGCUGGGGCUGCUCAAUAAAUGUUUGUGGGAUGAAUAUAUACAUCAGUCUCCUCUGCCCUUUGUUCUUUUCCAUAUCUUUCAAGGCCCUGCUCAGAUGUC